rnacentral:rRNA from 1 species
AUGUAUGUCAGAAACACCGCUCGCAGUCUCCAUCGCAGCAAAACUCCGGCUCUCCUCAUAAAGCUGGACAUUGCCAAAGCUUUCGACACAGUUCGCUGGGACUAUCUACUCGACCUUCUGCGCCGUCUCGGCUUUCCUCCUAGAUGGCGUGCUCUGCUAUCCAGCCUCUUCUCCUCGGCCACGUCUAGAGUAAUCCUUAACGGUAUCCCCGGUAAGGACUUUGCUCACGGCCAAGGACUUCGCCAAGGAGACCCGCUAUCCCCCCUGCUUUUCGAUAUCGCCAUCGACCCGCUGCAACAAAUUCUGGAUAAAGCAAUUGCGUCUGGUUUGAUGAGCGAAAGUCCUGGAGGUUCACAACAUCCUCGGAUCUCUCUUUACGCUGAUGAUGCUGCCAUCUUCAUUGCCCCUUCGGUGCAGGAUAUAUCCUGCCUGGCAAAUAUUCUUCAAGGCUUCGGGGAGGUUACGGGCAUGGUGACCAAUGUGGCUAAGAGCUCUAUUGCCCCAAUUCGCUGCUCCGAUGUUGACCUCACCGCAGUUCUGGCAAACUUCUCGGCGGCUAUCACCCAGUUCCCUCUCAAGUAUUUGGGGUUGCCCUUGUCGCUUGGUAGACUCAGAAGGACCGACCUUCAGCCAUACAUUGAUAAAGCUGCGUCAAGGUUGAACCCUCUGAAAGGAAGAUUCCUAAAUCAGGCGGGGUGCUGCACUUAUGUGAAAUCUGUCCUUUCUUCCAUGCCGAUCUUCCUCCUGACCGCUAUCAAAGUGGAUAAAGGCUUCCUAAGGGCUAUGGCCAAGAUCUGUCGCGGUAUGCUAUGGGACUGCAAGGAAUCUGUCAGCGGUGGGAAAUGCAAGGUCAACUGGCAGAAGGUCUGCCGCCCUAAGGAGCUUGGUGGUUUGGGGAUCCUAGAUUUGGAAAGGUUCUCCCGCGCCCUUAGACUUCGCUGGCUUUGGGACGAAUGGAAGGCUCCUGAAAAACCUUGGGUAGGUUUUGAAACUCCUAACGAUGCCUCAGAUAGACAGCUCUUCAACGCCGCGACUCGUGUUACUAUCGGGGAUGGCAAGAAGGCCUCCUUUUGGUCUUCCUCAUGGCUUGACGGCAAGCCACCGAAAGAUAUGGCACCUCUGAUCUUCAAAGCUUCGAGGAGGAAAAACCGAACGGUCCAUGAUGCCCUUACUGACCAUACCUGGGUAGCGGAUAUUGCGGUGGAGGCCUUCACGGCAGAGCACAUUGGCCAGUUCGUCCAGCUAUGGGAUCUCAUCUCAGAUAUCCAGCUCUCCCCAGAUAUAGAAGAUUCCAUCAUCUGGACCCUCUCCCCAAAUGGAUGCUACUCUGCGAGCUCCGCCUAUAAGGCGCAGUUCAUGACCGCGCUGCCUUGCUCCUUCGGCUCGAUUGUCUGGAAAACGUGGGCGCCUCCCAAAUGCCGCUUCUUCGCUUGGCUCGCCGUCCAAAAUCGCCUCUGGACCGCGGAUCGCCUGGCCAAACGUGGAUGGCCACACCAGCCCUCCUGCCAGCUAUGCCGGUGCUCCCCUGAGACGGCGAGACACAUGCUCUUUGAAUGCCGUUACUCCAAGAGGAUCUGGUCCGCGGCGGCAUCCUGGCUCUCCUGCCCGGAAUUACUGCUUAGCAUGGGCUCUGGUCGCCCCAAGGUGGUGGACUACUGGCAGGCCUUAGCUAGGUCGCCCUCUUCCUCUCCCAAAGGUCUAAAAACGGCUAUCAUGCUCAUCACCUGGGAAAUCUGGAAGGAAAGAAAUGAGAGAGUCUUCAACAAGAAAUCCUCUCUGCCGGUGGUGGUCAUGCACAAGAUAAGAGAGGUAGCAAAAGAUUGGAUUCUAGCGGGAGCAAAAAACCUGGCGGAUCUUGUGGGCUGA